rnacentral:rRNA from 1 species
UCGAGAAUAUUUCGCAAUGGGCGAAAGCCUGACGAAGCGACGCCGUGUGAACGAUGAAGGCCUUCGGGUUGUAAAGUUCUGUCGCUUAUGAACAAGUGUAUGUGUUGAAUAGGCAUGUACAUUGAGGGUAAUAGGAAAGGAAGCACCGGCUAACUCCGUGCCAGCAGCUGCGGUAAUACGGAGGGUGCAAGCGUUAGUCGGAAUUACUGGGCGUAAAGGGUGCGUAGGCGGGUAGACAAGUCAUAUGUGAAAUUCUGAGGCUCAACCUCAGAGCUGCAUAUGAAACUGUAUAUCUAGAGGAAUGGCGGAGAAAAUGGAAUUCCAUGUGUAGCGGUGAAAUGCGUAGAUAUAUGGAAGAACACCUGUGGCGAAAGCGGUUUUCUAGCUUAAUCCAGACGCUGAGGCACGAAAGCAAGGGGAUCAAACAGGAUUAGAUACCCCCGUAGUCC